CAAAUCAGACAAGGCGA
rnacentral:rRNA from 1 species